AAAUUGAAGAGUUUGAUCAUGGCUCAGAUUGAACGCUGGCGGCAGGCCUAACACAUGCAAGUCGAACGGUAACAGGAAGCAGCUUGCUGCUUCGCUGACGAGUGGCGGACGGGUGAGUAAUGUCUGGGAAACUGCCUGAUGGAGGGGGAUAACUACUGGAAACGGUGGCUAAUACCGCAUAACGUCGCAAGACCAAAGAGGGGGACCUUCGGGCCUCUUGCCAUCAGAUGUGCCCAGAUGGGAUUAGCUUGUUGGUGAGGUAACGGCUCACCAAGGCGACGAUCCCUAGCUGGUCUGAGAGGAUGACCAGCCACACUGGAACUGAGACACGGUCCAGACUCCUACGGGAGGCAGCAGUGGGGAAUAUUGCACAAUGGGCGCAAGCCUGAUGCAGCCAUGCCGCGUGUAUGAAGAAGGCCUUCGGGUUGUAAAGUACUUUCAGCGGGGAGGAAGGUGUUGUGGUUAAUAACCACAGCAAUUGACGUUACCCGCAGAAGAAGCACCGGCUAACUCCGUGCCAGCAGCCGCGGUAAUACGGAGGGUGCAAGCGUUAAUCGGAAUUACUGGGCGUAAAGCGCACGCAGGCGGUCUGUCAAGUCGGAUGUGAAAUCCCCGGGCUCAA
rnacentral:rRNA from 2 species